rnacentral:rRNA from 1 species
UCUGACCGCUCUAGAGAUAGAGUUUUCCUUCGGGACAGAGGUGACAGGUGGUGCAUGGUUGUCGUCAGCUCGUGUCGUGAGAUGUUGGGUUAAGUCCCGCAACGAGCGCAACCCCUAUUGUUAGUUGCCAUCAUUCAGUUGGGCACUCUAGCGAGACUGCCGGUAAUAAACCGGAGGAAGGUGGGGAUGACGUCAAAUCAUCAUGCCCCUUAUGACCUGGGCUACACACGUGCUACAAUGGCUGGUACAACGAGUCGCAAGCCGGUGACGGCAAGCUAAUCUCUUAAAGCCAGUCUCAGUUCGGAUUGUAGGCUGCAACUCGCCUACAUGAAGUCGGAAUCGCUAGUAAUCGCGGAUCAGCACGCCGCGGUGAAUACGUUCCCGGGCCUUGUACACACCGCCCGUCACACCACGAGAGUUUGUAACACCCGAAGUCGGUGAGGUAACCAUUUGGAGCCAGCCGCCUAAGGUGGGAUAGAUGAUUGGGGUGAAGUCGUAACAAGGUAGCCGUAUCGGAAGGUGCGGCUGGAUCACCUCCUUU